GACGAACGCUGGCGGCGUGCCUAAUACAUGCAAGUCGAGCGAAGUUUUUCUGGUGCUUGCACUAGAAAAACUUAGCGGCGAACGGGUGAGUAACACGUAAAGAACCUGCCUCAUAGACUGGGACAACUAUUGGAAACGAUAGCUAAUACCGGAUAACAGUAUUUCUCGCAUGAGAGAUAUUUAAAAGUUGGUUAUGCUAACACUAUGAGAUGGCUUUGCGGUGCAUUAGCUAGUUGGUGGGGUAAAGGCCCACCAAGGCGACGAUGCAUAGCCGACCUGAGAGGGUGAUCGGCCACACUGGGACUGAGACACGGCCCAGACUCCGACGGGAGGCAGCAGUAGGGAAUCUUCCGCAAUGGGCGAAAGCCUGACGGAGCAACGCCGCGUGAGUGAAGAAGGAUUUCGGUUCGUAAAGCUCUGUUGUUAGGGAAGAAUGGAUAUGUAGUAACUAUACAUGUAAGAGACGGUACCUAACCAGAAAGCCACGGCUAACUACGUG
rnacentral:rRNA from 1 species